AAACUCUAGGACCCUGGGUGCCUUCCAAGCCAAUAGUCUGGAGGUGGUCAUUUUCAUCCUAUUUGUAACAACACAAAAUGUAAAAAAGUAGCUAUGAAUCUUGAUACCAGAGGCUUGCUGAAUUCUAGCCACUGUCAGCAAGGGAGGCGGUGACUGUUGCUGCUAUCUAAAGAAGUAAGAUUCCAGCUGCAAGGUUUUGACUCAAGGGAUCAGCAAAUAAAUCUCAAGACCAUCUCCUGUAUUGCAGCCAUCAUUCUGCACACAGGCAUCGUCAUGCCACAUGAAUCAAAGUGGCAGGAGCAGAAGCCCUUCUAAGAUCUAUAUGGCUUUUGACUGAGGGAAAUGUGAGACGCCCCCGGGACCCCUUGCAUCUCACAGCUGUCAGUGCCUGGUGCUGGUGCCUUCAAUCUCCUGCUUAUCCUGAAUUCCUAACGAAGUGAAAUCACACGCACCUUCUAUAUUUCAGCGCAAGCCAAGGAGGAAAGGGAUAAAAAGGAUUGAGACGGGCCCUGGAUCUACUUAACAAACUUGUGGGGUUUAGGCUGAGUAUGCUGAAGUAAUGAGGAAAUGAAAUAGCCAUUGUUUCUUGUUCUUCCAGGGCAACAUUAUAUAACGUUGUUUGGACUCUUCUGAAAGCAGAGAAACAUGUUUUGAAUUUGUGCAUCCGGGAGCCGGCAAGUCACCAUUUAAAGGGACACAAGCUGUGUAGGGUGGAAGGACAUGAUCUUAGCGAAUGUGAGAGAACCAACACGAAGACCCAGUUUCCUAGUGGCCCUCUGAAACUCACAUAGGCAAAUAUCUUUCCCCUUCCAGGUCUCAUGAUGCCCUGGAAUUUCAAGGUAGGGGAAGGAUCAAAAAGAGGAUGAGAAAGACCUGACUCAGGCCUCCAGAAUUCAGCCCCUUACAAAGUGACCUUCUUUGCUGCUCUUGACACUGACCCUGAAAAGCCAGCAGGAUCUGCAGUUGCCAAGGAAUUGGAGCUAGUUUUCCUUUCAUUUAAGCUGAAUAAGCAAACAAAGCAUUUAUUUUGUGUUGAAGAUGCAGGAAAAUUGCCAGAAUCACUUUCAUUUCUAAAACAGAAGGAAAAUGACCAAGUGAAUUGCUCAUCCUUCCACUGUCAAAACCGACUGAAUUUUUUUUCCCCAUCUUUGAGGAAUACUCGGUUACAUUUGCUACUAAAUCUCUCACAUCAACUGUUAUGAAAUUUAGAAUUGUUAUUGAUUUCCACAUUAGUAAUGUUUAAUUUUCAUACCACCCAACACUUUAUGAUUUAAUGUUUACCCUAGUCUCAUUUUAUGGCAAUAUAAAUAUUUAAGCAUUUAAAUAUCUUAAUAUUUUGAAUGUAUUUGAAACAACAAAUGAAAAAGGAUCUUCAAUAUAUGGGUUGGCCACAAAGAAUGUUCAGGUUUUUCCAAAAAUGUUACAGGAAAACCCGAACGAACCUUAUGGCCAAUUCAAUAUACAACAGAAAACUAAAUUAUCAAAUUUAUUAGCACUAGAGAAUGUUCCUCUUCCUAAAUAAUAUUAUUUAUAGCAACUCAAACAACCAUGAAGACUGGGGAAAAUGUAUUCUUUGAAACUUCUUUUUUUUUUUAGCUUUUCAUCUUUCUAACAAGAACUAUAGUACUUAGAAGUUGCCCAAGAGAAGCUCAUAUUUAUGGUGUUUUUCUCCUUGACUUGGCAGAGGCAGGACUGAAACUAAGGCCCCUUGCUUCCCAGUUCUCAGGCCACAACACAACAGUGUUCGUGUUAUGAAUUAGUUCUCUCUGAAAGUGCCUUGUCUCCAAAAUAGACUCUUCCCAAGCACCGGGUGAAGCUUCUGAAGCCUUUCAUAAUUACUCAGAAGCAAAGAUUUCCCAGCUCAGAUGUAAGUCAUAAUAUAAACACCCCUCAGCGUGGGUCUGUGCCAAAGGUCCAGACCCCGUGUGCCAUGGGCAGUCCCCAAACCCAGAGCGGCUAACCCCCGAGACUUGAAAAACUGCCCCCUAGUGCCUCCCUUGCCCUUGUAUUUUGGACUCAGUAAAUAGAACGUCCUAUCCCAUCGGCCUUUUUUUCUCCCUCUCUCCACCUAUCCCUCCAUCCAUCUAGUCAUCCACCUGUAGUAGGCUGGAUCCACUAAGGCCCUAGUUCUCGUUUCACUCUGUACCAGUGCUUUUGCCGUGGAACAGUCAAGCGUCUUCUCACUUUCUCUCCGGGUCCAGCCAC
rnacentral:lncRNA from 1 species